UGCAGACCACAGAGGGAGAGUAACUGAUGGAAUACUCUCUGAAGUUCACACUUGGGCGAAGCUGCAUGUUUAACAUCAGGAGUGGGAGGAAAGGUUAAAGAACCUUGCCAGUGAUGUAUUAUUAAAGAAGGAAGGAAGGAGGAAGAAUGGAAGGAGGAGGGAAGAAGAAGGAAGGAGGUGAGAGGUGUGCGGAGAGGAGAAAAAAACAAGGAAGAAUGGAGAAUUGUCAUUACUUAC
rnacentral:lncRNA from 1 species